GAAGCGGAGCCCCACAGCUGGGAGCUGGCGGAGUAGAUCUGGCUGGGGCCACGUCGCUCCACUUCCCGCCGCUGCUACAACAGCACAGAUCCAACAGAAUACUAGCACCUGAUUUCUGUCUUCUCCAGCACUGGCACCUCCAGAGGCAGUCUAGCACAAUUUUCAGAUGUCAGGCAUUCUGCCUCUGGCCCGGGUCAAAAAAUUGUGGUAAGAAUGUUUUUAAAUGAGGAAAAGGAUGGUUUCCAGUCUCUCCGUUACCAAACUCAACAACAGUCCAAAAAACAGUUGAAGCUACCAACACAGAAACACACUCCAGAGACAAAGAAUGGAAAGUUUCAUCCCCAAAAGGACUUCCCACAAAACAUCACUGCUGGGCUGAGGCUGCAAAUCAGAACAACAAACAGUAGAUGGACAGAAGGUUGUUUUUAAAAAAGGAGUUACUGUUAUUAGUAAAUAUGUUAAUUGCCAGAAAAAGCCCUUUCCACGGAAUGUGUUCUGUCUUCCCCACUGCUGUACUAACCUGUAUCUUCUGUCUUAUAGUCAGUUGCCUAGAACGGUGUUGUGCCUGUUACCACGGAUUGAGGGCUGCGCCAUAGCGAACUCCAAUCAGAUGGUCUGGACAUGCCUGAGCUGAAGAAAUAUUUUGUAAUAAAAUGACUAUC